rnacentral:rRNA from 1 species
GAUGAAUGCUGGCGGCGUGCUUAACACAUGCAAGUCGAACGGAAAGGCUCCUGCUUGCAGGGGUACUCGAGUGGCGAACGGGUGAGUAACACGUGGGUGAUCUGCCCUGCACUUCGGGAUAAGCCUGGGAAACUGGGUCUAAUACCGGAUAGGACGAUGGUUUGGAUGCCAUUGUGGAAAGUUUUUCGGUGUGGGAUGAGCUCGCGGCCUAUCAGCUUGUUGGUGGGGUAAUGGCCUACCAAGGCGUCGACGGGUAGCCGGCCUGAGAGGGUGUACGGCCACAUUGGGACUGAGAUACGGCCCAGACUCCUACGGGAGGCAGCAGUGGGGAAUAUUGCACAAUGGGCGCAAGCCUGAUGCAGCGACGCCGCGUGGGGGAUGACGGCCUUCGGGUUGUAAACUCCUUUCGCUAGGGACGAAGCGCAAGUGACGGUACCUGGAGAAGAAGCACCGGCUAACUACGUG